GGGUGAGUAACACGUGAGUAACCUGCCUUACACAAGGGGAUAGCCGUUGGAAACGACGAAUAAUACCCUAUGAAACUAUCACUUCGCAUGAAGCGAUAGUCAAAGUGUUAGCGGUGUAAGAUGGACUUGCGUCUGAUUAGCCAGUUGGUGAGAAAAAGCCCACCAAGGCAACGAUCAGUAGCCGGCUUGAGAGAGUGUACGGCCACAUUGGGACUGAGACACGGCCCAG
rnacentral:rRNA from 1 species